CCUGAAUCGAUCUGGGUGAUUUUUUAAUAUGUCGUUCAUCCAGAUCGGGGCUAUCAGAGGAUGUGACUGUAUUUGUUGUAUUUUGGGGUACUUUUUGGGGUUUGUUAAAAUGUAUGUUUUUAUCUGCUUAGAGUUAAUUGAGUUAGUCCAUUGUCUUUGUUAAGAGGGGAGGAUUUGUGUACAUUAUCUGGGAGUGUCUAACUGUUUUGAUUGGUUUUGUAACUUUGUGUCCUGUGCUCCACAAGGUCCACCUUGCUGGUAACCUUGUGGGGAAAACUGUAUAAGAG